AUAACACAAAGACACACAAAUACCUUGUUUGGGCGGUUUAGUUGGUGCAACCACGUUUGUAUUGGGGAACAGUAUGUUUUUCUCUUUGUCAAAGCAUUCACUGUAACUCUGGUGGAAAAGAGCAGUAAUAUUUAAUGUCAUGUGUGUUAAUAAUUACUGCCUCAUAGACUGCUGCUGACAACACUCAUACAAUGGUCAUUGCGCUUGUAAGGUUAAAUAGUUACUGCUGAGCUAGCAUAGUGCAGCCGAUAGUUCAGCCCCAUUCCUGCAAACAGGAAGACACUAGCAACUAUGAGGAUGAUCCCACAGCCCUGUAGCGCAAGGGCUGGUACUGACUAAAAAACUACAGACCCUACAUGCUCAUGGCUUUUCACUUACAAGCUUGAAAAGGGCUUUAUCGUCAUCUGAUUGACCAGCCCAGAGUGACAUCAUGAAGUGUCUCAUUCAUCUCAUCAGUGCAAGAACACAAACAAAACCCCUGGUGGUCUUCCAGUCUCAAAGCACAAGAGAAAAGAAUAGCUCACCUCCGCCGUACGUGACGGCUAACAUGAUGGAGGAGAUCCAGGACACCUGGCUACUUGUCACAUUGAAGAUCACCUCAAUCUCUUUGAAGAAGACAGUGAUGGACUUGGGAAAUGCAUAGGAGAAGCCAAUAGAGAUGAAGGCUCCAAUCACCACCAUCCAUCCCCAGCCACCCUCAGGUGGUGUGUAACCUUGAGGACCACCGACGGCUGGUGGCAUUGUUCUUAAAACUCAAGAAGUUUUACAGAUACGAUGACUGUUUAGGAGAGAACAAAGUGACAGAGAAAGUCCUUUGAUUAGUUGCUUGUAAUUCUUAAAACACUUUAACAAAAUUAUAUUUGUGUUUAUGAAUUAGAAUACAGAAGACCUUUGGCAAACAAGCUGAAAAAACUUUAUUUUGUUAAGUGCUUAAUAAAUAUUCAACCCAUCAAUAAACAUAGAAAAUUACAAAACAUGUUUCCGUUUCAUACUGCUGCACAGUCAUUUGUGAUACUUUGUUCAAUUUAUUGUCCUCUUUUACAUGAACUUGAACUUGAUAU